CCGUGCUAGACGGGGAAUUAGCGGUGCCCUGUAACCUGCAACCCGCUACAGCAGGGUUGAAUUCCUGGCAUGAGGGUCUAUCUUGUAAGGUCUGGCUUGAAUAAGUGGCUGAGAAGUCUGGGUCCUGUGCAACGGGACAUUCUGAACCGUGUCAGGUCCGGGAGGAAGCAGCACUAAGGGGUCUAUCCCGUGUGACGCAGGGUGGCCUGGAUGGAGUUAACUGUUCAAGUAUCGCUUGGAAGGUAUUUUCGAAGCCAGGUGCACGG
rnacentral:SRP_RNA from 1 species